rnacentral:lncRNA from 1 species
ACAUUAAUUGUACUGUAUUACGUUUUGAACUAGCCCUAAAACCAUUUGAUUUAUAAUCAGAUUUCAGAUCUCUCUUUCUCAAUACUAGAAAUGGCUCCGUUAUCAAGUGGGCAAUUAAAACAAACUUAAAAGUAAACAUGUUUUCUUAAAAUAAGGGUUUUCGAUAAUGUAUCAAAGGGCCCAUGUGUUUCGGGAAACGUUGUUCCGGCGGAGUUCUAGUGAAGUGAGGCGGAGCGAGCAAUCCUUUCAGGGGAUGAAACGCGGGCUGAAGAAUAAUGAAUGAGAGAAACUGGGCGGAGAAAGUUAGACUUGAUUUUCACAUGUCUCUUAGUGCCAUGGUGAUGGUUUCACUGUAAAGAGAGUGCAAAUUGGGGAGUCGGAGGAGCCAGAAUGGAGGACCUCAUAGGGUCGUUGGAGAGGAAGCUGCAGAGGCCUCUAUUGGCCAAGUCCCGGACACUACCCAGCAUCCCCCAGUCCCCUACCGUGGCCAGGGUCCACCACUCAGACCUGAUUGGUGGGAGUCCUCCUCGCAGGACGUCUUUGGCCAGCAACAACAAUCAGCCCAAGGCCUGCACUUUGCCCCCUGAAGGUUAGAAAACACCUUUCUCACUCAAUCACACAAACACACACACACACACACACACACACACACACACACACACACACACACACACACACACACACACACACACACAACCACAGGAAAGGCCUGCUUCACCCAAUGCUUGUGCUUUUGGGGGCUGUCUUUUAAUGUCCAUAGGUAGCUUACCUUGUAACCUUUUCCUCAGGCUAAUUGUGCAUAGGCAGAAGUCUCUGGUGAACGAGAAAGGCUUUUACUUACCUUGAGACAUAAGUGUUAAGAUGGUAACUAACUGUUUUGUGUAAGUGUGUCUCUGCAUUCAAAAAUACACAGCAACUCUCCGAGCAUUCGGCACACGGCACAGCAGACUUUGGAGAGAUGGGCCCGUUGUUUCCUAGGACUCUCUGACAUUCCCGCCAGUGACGCACACCUAGCUCAAAUUGUUUCACAUCCAAACGGCGGUCUGAAUACUGACAGAAGACUGCUGCCGCUGUGUGUAUUUGGUAGCCUACUAGGCGGAAUGGUCGUGAGUUCAGAGGGGAGGCAGAGCUUUGACGAAGCCGUCUGAUUCCUGUCAGAUACGCGGUGAGACACGUCUUCCAAUCUCUUCCCCUCGCACUUCUGUAAUUCCCC